ensembl:snRNA U6 U6 spliceosomal RNA
GUGCUCACUUUGGCAGCUCAUAUGCUAAAAUUGGAACGAUACGGAGAAGAUUAGCAUGGCCUCUGUGUAAGGAUAACAGACAAAUACAUAAAGCAUUCCAUAUUUUU